rnacentral:lncRNA from 1 species
CUGUGCCCACUUCCUAGAGGAAAACGGGCAAAGCCCAGGCUGCUACAAAGCCCAGCGGUGGGGCAAGGACUGCCCUGAGUGCAGCCCUGCCAGCCCCUACCUCUGACGCUCUGGAGUUGGGGGUGGGGGAUCUAACUACCCAAACCUCCCCAGGAAGGCCGCAUCCAGGCGCAGGGAUGACCCAGCACUUACUAUCUACUCACACCCACAUUAAGGUUUCCCUUUGCCCACAAAGAGGGAUGCAGUAACAUGUCAGAUGGUGGUUUGCAUCCCUUUUUUUUGAGAUGGAGUCUCGCGGGCUCCAGCAGAACCAGGGUCCAAUGGCCUUGAAGAGAUGGCUGGGGACAGCUGGACUCAUUACGUCUACUCCUAAAUGGAGGAAACGACCCCUCAGCUACACAGCACCUGAGCCAGAAUGUCACCAGCCCGGAGGUGUCCUCGCGCCGCGCUGCUCCUGCCGCCUCGGGGGUGAGAGAGGGCGCGCCACCCGGACCCCCGGCCUGGGUCCCCCAGCUCCCCAGGCUUGAGUGCCAGGUCCCCCAUCCCAGACAAAUGGUUAUUCACACCUGGCCACAGCAGCCAGACACCAAACGACAGCCCUGGUAACAGGGUCCGCAGGAGGGUGGUUGGCUGGGCAGGACAUCAGGCCCAGCCCUGCCCCUGAGGAGCUCCC